UUGGGCCUACGAGCGACCGGUCCAUCCGCUCGCGAAUCCAGUCCUGUUUAUCUACUCGUCCAAUCCCGAUCCGAUCGAGCCUGAGGGGAACGAGGCCGCCGGUCGAUCCCAGCGACCGGAGGAGAGGAGCAGUCGGUUCCAUCCAUUGAAGAUGGGGUGAGGGAUGGAAUCGAGUCCAUCCGGUUGAUCCCAGCGACCGAGGAGCAGAAUCCGGGGUCGGGGCAAUCCAAUCCAGCGCGUGCCAGAUUCAGGACGACUCGCCUGCUUGAAACCGCUCUUCUCUCCUUCAAGCUAGCAAUCAUGGCCCUCCUCUACUGGAAACUGCUCUGCCCUCCUUGAAUCUCACAAUCAUGGCGUAUUAUUCAUUCAUGGCUGGCAAAAUCACAAACCUUCCUUAUGCCCAGUGGUACUAUAUAAUGUUUCCCUCCCUAGCUGCGUAUGCUCACCCUACUCCAGCAUCUACAUUCGAGCUGCGGCACGCCAGGAUGGCGGUGGCGGCUCGGGCUCGCCCACGAAGCGUGACACGAAGGCCGCCUUCGCCUCCUCUCCCUUCCUCGCCUCCCCACGGGGCGGCGGCGAUGGCGGCAAGGACGGCUUGCUGCGCUCGUCCCCUCCGCUCCACCAGAGAAGCCAGGAUGCACUGCUGGUGGAGAGAAGUGCAAAUGCGGCGGCAGCAACACCUUCACCGGACAAAAAGAAAGCUGGGAGGACAGGAAAAAUGCAGACGGUAGAAACUACUGCUGAUGACACGGAAGGAACCUCUAAAGCUGCUGAUAGCAAGAGGACGGGGCCUUCUGAAUCAGCUGAUGGUGCAUCGCAUUAUCUUGGAGAUGCCUACUUAUCUCCAACAUUUUCAGGGUUUUGAUCUGAGUUGGACGGGACGAGAAGCAAAUUUUGCUGCUCAUACAUGUGCUAAAGAGCUCUAGGUUUACAGUCAGACUUUGUUUCUCUCUUUGUAAUCCCUAAAUUUCUGAUUGACAUUCUGCAAUCAGCUAUGAUCCAUUAAGAUGAAUAAAAUGAAGAGGGCGGUUCUAAAAAAAAAAA